GGAGUCUGGGCCGUGUCUCAGUCCCAAUGUGGCCGUUCAACCUCUCAGUCCGGCUACUGAUCGUCGACUUGGUGGGCCGUUACCUCACCAACUAUCUAAUCAGACGCGAGCCCAUCUUUCAGCGAUAAAUCUUUGGUCAUCAGAUGAUGCCACCCGAUGACGUUAUGCGGUAUUAGCAGUCGUUUCCAACUGUUGUCCCCCUCUGAAAGGCAGGUUGCUCACGUGUUACUCACCCGUCCGCCACUAACUUUGAGAGCAAGCUCUCAAAGUCCGUUCGACUUGCAUGUGUUAGGCGCGCCGCCAGCGUCGUCCUCGAGCCACGGAGUCAAACUACU
rnacentral:rRNA from 1 species